rfam:Schistosoma margrebowiei strain Zambia genome assembly, scaffold: SMRZ_contig0002333
AUCCAGUAGACGAGUCCUAAAUAGGACGAAACGUUCGUCAAAUUGGAU